GAUGAACGCUGGCGGCGUGCCUAAUACAUGCAAGUCGAGCGAACAGACGAGAAGCUUGCUCCUCUGAUGUUAGCGGCGGACGGGUGAGUAACACGUGGAUAACCUACCUAUAAGACUGGGAUAACUUCGGGAAACCGGAGCUAAUACCGGAUAAUAUUUUGAACCGCAUGGUUCUAAAGUGAAAGACGGUUUUGCUGUCACUUAUAGAUGGAUCCGCGCUGCAUUAGCUAGUUGGUAAGGUAACGGCUUACCAAGGCAACGAUACAUAGCCGACCUGAGAGGGUGAGCGGCCACACUGGAACUGAGACACGGUCCAGACUCCUACGGGAGGCAGCAGUAGGGAAUCUUCCGCAAUGGGCGAAAGCCUGACGGAGCAACGCCGCGUGAGUGAUGAAGGUCUUCGGAUCGUAAAACUCUGUUAUUAGGGAAGAACAAAUGUGUAAGUAACUGUGCACGUCUUGACGGUACCUAAUCAGAAAGCCACGGCUAACUACGUG
rnacentral:rRNA from 1 species